rnacentral:rRNA from 1 species
GUCUAUGGCCAUGCUACCCUGAACAAGCCUGAUCCUGUCUGAUCUCAGAAGCUAAGCAGGGUCGGGCCUGGUUAGUAUUUGGAUGGGAGACCACCUAAGAAGACCAGGUGCUGUAGGCA